rnacentral:ribozyme from 12 species
AAUCAAGAAGACGAACAAUCAUCAGGAUAUGCCGAAUACAUUUGUGUACGCGCGAUUUUUUGUUUCUUUCCUUUUCUGUUUUUGUUUUUCGGGAAUUUUUUCUUUCUUUUAG